AAACAUAGUCAUCAACUAAUACAUGUGCUAGUCUAAUAUUCAUGUGUGUCCUCACAUGAACUCCGACUAGGGACAACUUUAGAAUAACCAUACAAGUAAAGAGUUUCACAUACAAUUCACAUAAUUGCAAAUCAAUUCAAGUAGCCUUCAAUGGAUAUUCAAUGAACACAACAUACAAAUCAUGGAUACAAAUGGAAUAUCAUCAUCUCUAUGAUUGCCUCUGGGGCAUACCUCCAACAGUCUCCCACUUGCAUUAGAGUCAAUCUAGAAGGUACCUAAUACCCAUAGCUCUUACAUGCGCAUCAUGCUUAGCCUGCGGGAGUGGUUUUGUCAACGGAUCAGAAAUAUUCAGAUCCGUGUGUAUUUUGCAUAUCUUGAUCUC
rnacentral:lncRNA from 1 species